UACAGAGGGUGCGAGCGUUACUCGGAAUUACUGGGCGUAAAGCGCACGUAGGCGGCUUUGUAAGUUAGAGGUGAAAGCCCGGGGCUCAACUCCGGAAUUGCCUUUAAGACUGCAUCGCUAGAAUUGUGGAGAGGUAAGUGGAAUUCCGAGUGUAGAGGUGAAAUUCGUAGAUAUUCGGAAGAACACCAGUGGCGAAGGCGACUUACUGGACACAUAUUGACGCUGAGGUGCGAAAGCGUGGGGAGCAAACAGG
rnacentral:rRNA from 1 species